GACUUGCCCGGGGCUGUCUGCGUGUGUGUGUGUGUGUGUGUGUGUGCGCGAGCGUUCGCGUUCUUGCGGCGCCCCGGUCGCCCAC
rnacentral:pre_miRNA from 1 species